rnacentral:lncRNA from 1 species
AGCUUAAACAACAGAAAUUUAUUUUCUCACCAUUCUGAAGGUUAGAAGUCCACCAUCAAAAGUGCCAAGAUGGGCCAGGCACAGUGGCAGUGGCUCAUGACUGUAAUCCCUGCACUGUGGGAGGCCAAAGCAGUAGGAUCAUUUCAGCCCAGGAAUUUGAGACCAGCCUGGGCAAUGGCUCUACAAAAAAACAAAAAAGAGAAAGAAAUAAUUAGCUGGGUGUGGUGGCAGGUGCCUGUAGUCCCAGCUUCUUGGGAAGCUGAGCUGGGAGGAUCUCUCAAGCCUGGGAGGUCGAGGCUGCAGUGAGCCGUGAUCAUGACACUGCACUCUAUCCUGGGCAACAAGCAAGACCCUGCCUCAAAAAAAAAAAAAAAAAAAAAGUGCCAAGAUAGUCACUUUCUGGUGAGGGCUUUGUUUGUGGCUUGCAACCAGCCAGCCGCCUUCUUACUGUGUGACACAGAGAGACAAAGAGAGGUCCUUUUCUCUUCUUCUAAGGCUAUACUCCUAUCGGAUUAUGAUCUUACUUAACCUUUUUUUCUUCUUCUUAUUUUUUGAGAUGGAGUCUCACUCUGUCACCCAGGCUACAGUGCAGUGGCACAAUCUUGGCUCAAUGCAACCUCUGUCUCCUAAGUUCAAGCAAUUCUCCUGCCUCAGCCUCCCAAGUAGCUGAGACUACAGGCACACAACAUCACACCCAGCUGAUUUUUCUAUUUUUAGUAGAGACAGGGUUUCACCAGUUUGGCCAAGCUUGUCUCGAACUCCUGACCUCAGGUGAUCCACCCACCUUGGUCUCCCAAAGUGCUGGGAUUACAGGCAUGAGCCACCACACCUGGCCUCAUUUAACCUUAAUUACCUCCUAAAGACCCCACCUUCAGAUACAGUCACAUUUAGGGUUGGGACUUAACACAGGAAUUUGCGGGGGACACAAUUCAUUCCAUAGCAACAUCCAAUUCUAAAUCCAAGAUAUUGGGGUGACAUGUUUUCCUCCUCUAGUUGUAUUGUAAUCUUAUGUCUCUAUUUUCUAACACCUGGUAACUACCACCAACACACCUGAUUGGUCAGAGUAGGCUAGGUAAUGCUGUAAUAACAAAUGACAUCCUAAUCUGAGGAGCAUAAUGCAACAAAAUUCUAUUCCCCAUGCGUGCCAAGCCUGCUGUGGGUCCAGGCAAGUCUCCAGCACAGCUGUAGUCCAUGUGGCAGCUCAAGUUUUCAAGUGUUUUGAUCUUUUGCCGUGCUUCUUCAUCUCAACACAGGCUUCCAUGGUCGCUCCAGUUAAGGAAGACAACAAGGGAAAUUCUUGCUUAAAUGUUUUUGUCCACAAGUGACAUAUGCCAUUUCUGUUCACAUUUCAUUGGCCAAAGUGGGUCACACAGCCAUGCCUAACUUCGAGG